UACGGGGGGGGCGAGCGUUGUUCGGAAUUACUGGGCGUAAAGGGCGCGUAGGCGGUCUGCUAAGUUGGAUGUGAAAACUCUGGGCUUAACCCAGAGCCUGCAUUCAAUACUGACAGGCUAGAGUUCUGGAGGGGAUAGCGGAAUUCCUGGUGUAGCGGUGAAAUGCGUAGAUAUCAGGAGGAACACCGGUGGCGAAGGCGGCUAUCUGGACAGAGUCUGACGCUGAGGCGCGAAAGCUAGGGGAGCAAACAGG
rnacentral:rRNA from 1 species